GCUUGCUUAAAUUCCGGUGUUCAGGGGGGGAUAUAUUAUUUUUGACAAGGGUCACAUUAACUGCCAUAAAAGGGGCCCGCUACAGCCAUGCUUUAGUUAUUCCCUAUAUGAUGAAUCAAUUUAAUGCAGACCAAAUCUAGAGUUUUUCCAAUGGUGCUGAACCACAAAAUGAGGUUACAGUUUACUCUGUCUAUAUGCAAUCAUUGAAU
rnacentral:lncRNA from 1 species